UUUUAGCCCUGACAGAAGUGGAAAUCCUUGUGGGUCGGGGUUAGACCCAUAAGAUUAAAACGGAUGGCAGGAAUCAUC
rnacentral:sRNA from 1 species